CAUUCAAUGUCAUAUGUACACCUAUCAUCUGAUGAGUGUCGGUUGUGUUAAUCCAUACAUCGUGUAUAUUACCAUACGGCAGGCUCUUUCUCAUCAAUGUGUAAGGCCUUAAUGUUUCAAGUUCACAGCUAAAGUAAUCAGCACCAGUAAAAUCAUCACAAUAUAGAUUACCCGUUUUGUAGUAGGCGAAGAACCACCUAAUGUGUUAACCAAUCUAGGUCCUCCAGCCCCAAAUGUGACAGCCAAAAGCCCUACUUUAAGCCAAUCGGCCACACACUGCGUUCCACUUUUCUCAACACCAUUGUACGUUUCAAAGCAAUGUGCCAUCAAUGUGUUAAACAUCUGACCACCCUCAUAAGCCUGUUCAAGUAUGAGCCCUACACCAGCACAAAUGAGUCUGCCUUGCCACGUAACAUAAAAAGCAGUUGCGAGUCCUGACAAUAGGAUAAUUAUUAAAGUCCCAACUAUUAAAGGGGACAUGUUUGAAAUUAAAGCAAUCAAUUCGGAAUAUUUUUGUUUUCUAUAUUCAAAAAAAGGAGAUAAUGGUAUCGUAUAUCAAAUACUUAUAUAGCUUUUGACUAAAUUUUUUUUUUUUUUUUUGGAAGAAGAGGUUCAGUUAUGCUCUAGUUUAAGCUUAAUGGAUCUUAAACUAAUAAUUUCGGAUAAGUGUAUAUAUUUCGGUUAUGCAAUAUAGAAACAUAUGAUCUAUCGGUAAUUGCAAGUUGCCGACAACAGGGGUUAUAUAGAAAAUGUCCCAUUAUUCCCUUCUUUAGCUAAUUUACUUAACAAUCGAGUUAACCUGGCCUUUCUUGCUACUUCGUUUCUCCGUUUCCCCCUUCAACUAGGCAGUAUCUUGAAAUUUUCAAUGUGGAAAAGGAGCUUUGAUCCAUGCCUCUUUGUGUUGUGUCUUUUCAUAGGCCAACGCUGAUAUCAACAUAUCUUUGAAUUUCGUAAAUUAUUUUGAUAGUAUUAUCCAGUAUAGCAAUCUUCAAUACUUUCAAGUUAGAUAGAGGCUUGUGAUUUUUUACUUUUAGCGCCAAAUAUUGGGGGUUGGUGGUUGGUUGAAGGUAUAGAUACAGAUAUCGCGACAUAGUAUUUCUUCCAAAAGUCUUUAGUUGUGUGGGACAUUCUCUAUAUUCGAUUCAUUCCUCUGACUGAGAGAAAUACGGCGAUCAGGUCGCUUCUCUAUAGUAAAUUUGACCAUAGGUUCGCAUCAACGGCUACUUAUAGGAGUAAUAAUACCGAUUAAAGAAGAUUAUGAAAAAAAUUUUUAAUUUUUUCUUUUUCAGACGAUUAAUAGAAGAUAACAGUUUUUGCAGUCUUUCCUUAGGAA
rnacentral:lncRNA from 1 species